GACGAACGCUGGCGGCGUGCUUAACACAUGCAAGUCGAACGGAAAGGCCUUUUCGGAGGUACUCGAGUGGCGAACGGGUGAGUAACACGUGGGUGAUCUGCCCUGCACUCUGGGAUAAGCCUGGGAAACUGGGUCUAAUACCGGAUAGGACCGCACUUUAGUGUGUGUGGUGGAAAGUUUUUUCGGUGUAGGAUGAGCCCGCGGCCUAUCAGCUUGUUGGUGGGGUAAUGGCCUACCAAGGCGGCGACGGGUAGCCGGACUGCGAGGUUGGUCGGCCACAUUGGGACUGAGAUACGGCCCAGACUCCUACGGGAGGCAGCAGUGGGGAAUAUUGCACAAUGGGCGCAAGCCUGAUGCAGCGACGCCGCGUGGGGGAUGACGGCCUUCGGGUUGUAAACUCCUUUCGCCAGGGACGAAGCGUUUUGUGACGGUACCUGGAGAAGAAGCACCGGCUAACUACGUG
rnacentral:rRNA from 1 species